rnacentral:rRNA from 1 species
UACGUAGGGCCCAAGCGUUGUCCGGAAUUAUUGGGCGUAAAGAGCUCGUAGGCGGUUUGUCGCGUCUGUCGUGAAAGCUUGGGGCUUAACCCCAAGUCUGCGGUGGAUACGGGCAGACUAGAGGCAGGUAGGGGAGAACGGAAUUCCCGGUGUAGCGGUGAAAUGCGCAGAUAUCGGGAGGAACACCGGUGGCGAAGGCGGUUCUCUGGGCCUGUACUGACGCUGAGGAGCGAAAGCGUGGGGAGCGAACAGG